rnacentral:other from 1 species
ACCGGCCUGCAAAGCAGGUGCCGAUUGGUCACCGUUAUUUGAACCGAUAUUCAAAAUGAACAGGGGACUCGACUCGUAUUACGGCUCGGUGUGCAAGGUUCCGCCAGUACGGAAAUGCCUAAAGAGCCGCGGCGGGUUCCCGCCGUCUACCGACGGGUUCAUUAACGGCCCUUUCGCACGGCCCCGUGGGUCGGUC